CAGUAGCCACGGUAAUACGUAGGUGGCAAGCGUUGUCCGGAAUUAUUGGGCGUAAAGGGCUCGCAGGCGGUUUCUUAAGUCUGAUGUGAAAGCCCCCGGCUCAACCGGGGAGGGUCAUUGGAAGCUGGGAAACUUGAGUGCAGAAGAGGAGAGUGGAAUUCCACGUGUAGCGGUGAAAUGCGUAGAGAUGUGGAGGAACACCAGUGGCGAAGGCGACUCUCUGGUCUGUAACUGACGCUGAGGAGCGAAAGCGUGGGGAGCGAACAGGAUUAGAUACCCGUGUAGUCCCUGUCUCUUAUAA
rnacentral:rRNA from 1 species